rnacentral:rRNA from 1 species
CAGCCGCCACGGGAAUACGUAGGGUGCAAGCGUUAAUCGGAAUUACUGGGCGUAAAGCGCACGCAGGCGGUUUGUUAAGUCAGAUGUGAAAUCCCCGAGCUUAACUUGGGAACUGCAUUUGAAACUGGCAAGCUAGAGUGUGGCAGAGGGGGGUGGAAUUCCGCGUGUAGCAGUGAAAUGCGUAGAUAUGCGGAGGAACACCGAUGGCGAAGGCAGCCCCCUGGGCCAACACUGACGCUCAUGCACGAAAGCGUGGGGAGCAAACAGGAUUAGAUACCCGAGUAGUCCCUGUCUCUUAUAC